UGAACGACUCUCRGCAACGGAUAUCUCGGCUCUUGCAUCGAUGAAGAACGUAGCGAAAUGCGAUACUUGGUGUGAAUUGCAGAAUCCCGUGAACCAUCGAGUCUUUGAACGCAAGUUGCGCCCGAGGCCUUCUGGUCGARGGCACGUCUGCYYGGGCGUCACGC
rnacentral:rRNA from 1 species